GUUCCCGGCGGUGCGCGCGGCGCUGGGCUUCCGAGCUCGUCGGCGUGGGUGCAGCUGACGGUCGUUGGGCGGGCGCGCGGGGCGGCCGUUGGUCCGGCGCGCGGGGCGGCCGUUGGGCGGGGGAGGCGGACCGGGCGCUGGCGCAGGCGUGAGGCAGCGCGGCGCGCUCUUCUCCACAGGCGCGGGUGGGCCCGAGCGGAGCCGCCGCGGGCGGAGGAGCGGAGCGGGGCGAGCAGCAGGAGCCUAGAACCUGAAAGUACGGAGACGGAUCUGUGGCUGUUGAAGAUCCUCCCUCCAAAAAGUAUGUGACUGGACUGUUUCUUUGAUGCCCAGAUGCCUUCUUCAAGUGGUGGAGAACAUUGAAAAUAUCAAAAAGCAGGUGGUGUUUACUCAGUAGGGAGAAGAGUUAUAAUCUGCGAUUGCUUCAAAGAAGCAGAAUUCCCAGUGGCAACAGUCAGAAGAAUUUAUCCACGUACACAGAGCAAAAGAUAGCACAAGAGAUAACUUUUGCACAUCAGAAACUCUUUUCCCAACAAUUAAAAAUGGAAAGUAGUCUGAAAUCCUUUGCAUCUUUGGUAGAAGCCUCAGGAAAGAAGUUUGAAAAGCACAGAGUUCUCACUGUGGACACGUACCAUUAAACAAAGAAAAGAGCCUUUCCCUUGCCACCCACUCCCCUAAAGAACCUGAGUGAUGUCUGGUCCCUGUUGAAGUGGGAAAACACACUACUGGUAUCAGUUGAUUUACAGCUGUGUAUAGGAACACCAAUGUUUUAUGAAGGGUAGUAGCAUUCAUAACAGACCUUUGUUCAUCUCAGAAGAAAAUACGAUAAAGAGCCAGCUUCUGUCAUAUAGAAGAGAAAACACACAAGAUGAUUGUUAAAGGUGUUGCAACAUGGGAUAGUGCCACAGAAAGGCCCUGCACAGAUAAUUCAUCUCUGUUGCCUUGGAGUCAAUUAGGAUCAGGCCUGGCUAAAAUCAAAGAAAUUAAUAGUGUUGACUUCAGCAAAACUAUGGAUGACGCUCACUGCAAUCAAUGAAUGCUGUUGUCCAUCACUUUCGUGAGCACUGCUCUUAGUCUAAAAUUAUAAGUAUUAUCUCCCGGUAUUUUAACCUUGAAAAAAGGGUGCAUCCAUCAGAACUACUUUUUAAGAGCUAUCUUGAGAACUUUAGUAGAUAGCAGUAUUGCAUACUCAAGGAUCCUUGUAUUAGAAGUUUCAUAAAUAUUGUAUAUAUUGGGUGUGUAAUGUGCUGAAUUGGUUCCUCUGCAGCAGUGAGAUUCAUCAUGUCAAUGAUUAAUGGUUUAAGGCUCUGAAAGAAUAAACUGAAGCAUUAGGAAUGUAAUGCGCUCUAAAGGACUGCAGUUGUCUUACGUGGUACAGAGCUGCAGAAAAUGAGGGGUCUCAUGCUGUGCAGCUGUAACAAGAAUGGUUCCAGAAGAGCUGCUUCUUAAGAAGGAAAAUGUAGAUAUUCGUGUUUAAUUUUUUAUCAUAUUAUUUUCUUUAAACCUAUGCUAUUAAAAAACCAAAACCCCCAAAGACCUUCCAUCAACUGCCUGGACUAUAGUAUAACAGGUAGAGAGAAUAAUCUAGUGGCUAGACUGUGGGCCUG